CAAUUUCUCACUUUAAUUGUAAUUUAUUAUCAUUAAAAGUAACAAGUGGGUUUAAAUCCUUUUGUCUUAAAAACCCAGUGUAACACACAAGUCACUGCUACUGUUCUAUUAAACGUGUGGCAAAAUUGUAUCCCCAAAUCAUAUUAUUCUGCCUCAUCCUCACAGACAUCAAUGGUGUGGGACACAAACAACACAGAAACAGAUUGGUCGACACAGCAGUUGUCAUAAGGAUGAUCAUUAGGCCUCAAGAUGCUACAAGUUAUUCUGUAAGAGCUGUUAAGUAUAACUUUAGUUUCCCCCUUCGUUAAUACUGCUGGAACAAUUAGAUAUUUCACAGAGUUUUUGGCGAAGCCAUAAGAAUCUUUUAAGAACUGUAUUUUUCCCCUAUAUCUCCUCUUAGAUGCUGAAGUUUUCCUCUGUUUUUUUUUCACCCCUCAGUGACAUGGCUGCCCCAUUCCAGGAUACAAAACCAUAGUGACGUUUGCAGUCACUCUCCACACAGCACCAUAUAUUUCCUUUGCAUUCUGAAAUCAAUACUCAGCAAUAGCACUUACCUUUAACACUGCUGCCAGAACAGCUUGGCAGCACAUCAUUCAGGAGUACUACAUGCUAGUGUAUUAAUCUCCAGCUUCUUUGAAGUUCCAGAGAUUAAGUUAAACUCAAGUGGCAAGUAUCCAAUUUACUGCUAGUUCACAUUUGUGUAAAGAGGCAGGAGCCAGAUGCUGCGGACAGAUGCAUCUUCACAUUACAGCUGUUCAAGAAAGAACCUGAGCAAGUCAUAAUGCUGUUCAUCAGUGGCUUGCCGGUCCAAAAAAAGUCUCCACAAGCAAGUACACAUAUUAGUGAAAUGGAAGGAUGGUCCUAUUUCCAUCAAGCAUUUCAUGUGUUGAAUUUAAGCUUACAAUGUUACUCCAUAUUCAAAAGUAAUCAGAAGCCUCCGAGUGAAAACUUUCUGGCUAGCAGAAAUGUAGUGAAGGAAAAACCAGAAUACAGGAAAAAUUUAUAUAGCUACUCAGAUGUGCUUGUAUAUGAUUUCAGAAACACAAGAAGGUCUGUUCUUGAGGAGCUGACCCCUUGGGUAUUUCUGCCUGAACUUCACAGUAGCUUGUGGCAUUGAGAAGCUCAAUGAAAACAAACCAGUAAACAGCCUUACAUAUAUCUAUACCCACACUGGAUUUAGAAAGUCAUGGGAAAAAGUAUAAACAUUAUCAUAGGAUAAACGUAUGGAGAUCAACUACAUCAACAGAUUCUAUGAACAGACUCCAGUUUUUCACAAACAGCAGUUCUCACUC